AUCUAGCCAUGGGCAGGUUGAAGGUUGGGUAACACUAACUGGAGGACCGAACCGACUAAUGUUGAAAAAUUAGCGGAUGACUUGUGGCUGGGGGUGAAAGGCCAAUCAAACCGGGAGAUAGCUGGUUCUCCCCGAAAGCUAUUUAGGUAGCGCCUCGUGAAUUCAUCUCCGGGGGUAGAGCACUGUUUCGGCAAGGGGGUCAUCCCGACUUACCAACCCGAUGCAAACUGCGAAUACCGGAGAAUGUUAUCACGGGAGACACACGGCGGGUGCUAACGUCCGUCGUGAAGAGGGAAACAACCCAGACCGCCAGCUAAGGUCCCAAAGUCAUGGUUAAGUGGGAAACGAUGUGGGAAGGCCCAGACAGCCAGGAUGUUGGCUUAGAAGCAGCCAUCAUUUAAAGAAAGCGUAAUAGCUCACUGGUCGAGUCGGCCUGCGC
rnacentral:rRNA from 1 species